GUCAUUAAGUUUUUUGGAGUAAGUGAAUUUUCGUCUGGGUGUGCUUUGCUUCAUAAAUUCCUUACUUUGUAACCUUCGUGUUUGAAAAUUAGAUACCUUCCUUCCCCAUAAUUCGUCAAGUUUAAGAUCUUCUUAAGUCCUUUUUCAAAUUUAUAGACAUCUUCCUUCCCGGUCCAGCUAAUUCGAUAAUCUUCUCAACUCCUUCAAAUUUAAAGAUGCAUUCAUCCUCCAACGAAUCAGUCGUCGCCACGAAGGUGAAUCAUGGGAGGAGAUUUACUUCUCGGGCGCUGACAUCCCCCGCUUUCCUGGUCACAUUGGGGACGACGCUGCUGAUCGCGACGGUGGUGGUGGGGCAGGCGGACAGCUUCGUCAUGGGGAGCCGACCUCUCAGCAAACGGUCAUUUUUCGACAUCCAGUGCAAAGGAGUUUAUGACAAGGGCAUCUUUGCCAAGCUGGACAGAAUUUGCGACGAUUGUUACAACUUGUACAGAGAACCACAACUCCACUCGCUAUGCAGCCAGAAUUGUUUUUCGUCCUCGUACUUCAUGAAUUGUUUGGAUGCGCUGACGCUGAACGAUGAGCAGAAGACGUAUGAAGAGUACAUCGAACGAAUACACGCACCCACGCCCGUCGAACGAAAGAAAUGAACCAUUUCUCACGACACGACCCAAACCAUCGUCAUCAUCAUCAUUCUGAUAGUCACAUUCCAGCUACCAAAGACUUUGAUUUCUAUUUUUUUUAAGAGAGAACAAGCUGCACCUGAAUCAGCAAUCGUUUUUUAGGAGCAGGUGCAUACACAAAAACUUUAAAAAAUUCCAGGGCAAAUAUUUACAUAUUUAAUUUAGUUAAACUUAGGUUAGGUUUAGUUGAGAAUAGAAAAUGAAAUAGUUUUUCUCGUGAAUUUUUUAAUGGACAGAGAGAUUUAUUGGCAAAUAUUUACAUAAUUUGGUUAAAUGUGUAGCUUUAAAUUGAAAAUUGGACAGUUUUUUGUCGGAUUUUUUAAUUUUUACUUUUAUGAAAAUGAAUAAGGAGAAAGUCAGUCAGGGAUUUUUUAGUUUUUUGAAAGCAGAUUUUUAUAUUUUUGAGAUUUUUAGCCUAGAAAAUCCUAUGUAGAGUCAAAAGUCAACAAAACGCAGCUCAACUAAGCUACAAAAUCAAUAUACACACAAAAUUACCAUCAUCUCAUUGACACGACACCAUCAAAUUUUUGGACAUAUUUUAAACACCGUCGAACUGCUUUGGGUCUCCGUACUUCAAAGGGUGUCUCGACGCUCUUUUGCUGAACGAGGAGGAUGGCAAGUUCGACGAGAUGAUUGAAAUCCUAGGGAAAAAGAAGAAGUAAAAAGUGACAUCCGGUUUUCUUCUACUCGACUUUCUCCCCCCAAAAAAGAAAACAGACCAAAGUGUGCCGUUUGACUGAUUUUAAUUUUAUCUCUGUCUCUCAAUCUUUCCUACGAAUUUUAUGUGAUUAAUUAGAAAUUUACAUAUUUAGUAAUUUAAUCACCUUUACUUAAGUUAAUUAGUAAUUUAAUUACUAGAAAAGUCAGCUAGUCAGUAUUAUUAUCUAUGCAUUUUUAGUUAUUUUUUGUAUUUUGAAGUCUUGUUAAUUUAUUUCCGGUAGGAAUUUAAUCGUCACCACGUGGUUUUUAUGGAUCGUUGCCACGUGUUUUUAUGUUCCUAGUGAACCGUGUACCUCUCUGACUGACCGGCAAUUUACAUAUUUACAUCACUCUCACCUUAAAAAUAUGCUAAUUAUUAUUGUUAUUAUUAUUAAAAAAUUAUUACAAUCCCCGAUGUUUUUUUAAUGUGCCAAGUAAACCAAAGAAUGACGGUUGUAACGUAAUGAAGCGUAGUUAGUUGUGUAUGUAAAUAUGAAUUUGUGUAAUUUGAAAAGACGGUGGCCAACUUUAUUGUUUGUUUGUUAAAUGUAUGUAAUUUCUGGUUGAGAAGAAUGAAAAAGGAGAUCAGACCAGAAAGCAGACACGUGGAAAAUAAAUGUUUUGAUGUGAGCAAUUAGAAAAAAAA